GACCCUGCCAAUGCUACACACGCCCAGACCCUCUGCACUGCGAAGAGCGCGGCGGCUCGCUCCCGUUCGGCUCUUCCCUGGAAAUGCGCGCAGGAGGGGAGGUGUCGAAGAUCACGUCCAGGGGAGGGCUCAGAGAGAGAAUAGUAAUGAGCUGUGAAAUGACCAAAAAUCUGGCAGCAGAAAGGAAAAGAAAAAAAAUAGCAGAGGGAGGCUUAAGAUGUGGUGAUUUUCUGAUGCUUAAGCCCUCAGAAGACUCAAUUAUCUGCAAUGGGAAAAGCACCAGGAAGAGGGGAAUGGCCUGACUUCAGGAGACCUUGGAUCUCUUGGACCUGUGUGGAGAGCACCAGACAGAAGUUAGUGUCUACAAAUGCUUCUAGUGGCUGCUGGUGUGCCUUGACUUGUGACUGUGUCUCUCCAGUCUUCAAGGCUUCCCCACCACCCCGCUGGGCUCAGUGUGAGCGCACAGGAGAGGAGAACGCAGGGAGAAAGCAAUGGCUGCAGAGCCGGAGUGCUCAGCGGCAGAGCCGCCUUUCCCCUGGGCCUGAUGCAAAGACAGGCCCCAACCUCUUUCUUGUCAUUCAUCGGUUUUGCUGAACCUGGAAAGGAAAUAAAUUCCAAAGGCAGGAAAUGACCCAGAGACCAUAACAAUAUGUGAAAAGCUGAGCUGCUGCUUCCGCCACUUUGUUUCCAACUACUCUAAUCCGUGUCCCAGGAAGCCUAACCCAUUGCCAGAUGGCGAUCUGUUUUCAGAGGCCUCUUGGCAUCUGCCACUCCCGGCUGGUGACAUUUGCGCAUUUCAGAAGGCAAACCUGUCCCAACGUCUUCAAACUUCCAGAAAGGUAUAGCCCCAGGAAAGUCCUUGGGUCUCUGGCUGACAGCACCAACCAUCUGAUCUGCUUCAUCUGCAGCUGAACUGCUGCUGGACUCCAGCCUAGAACACUAGCACACCGGGGCUGCGCUUGAAGAUUUGCAGAAUCUGAAAUCAAAAUGCUGCGUGUUGCCAGAAAAGGCUGGCUCCCUUGCCUGCCUCAUAAUCCCUUCUCACCAGGCUUUCCUAAAGAAACCCGAUGAGUCAGGAAGGAAAAGGAAGAAAACACGUCUGAGGGAGAUCUGAGGGCAGGCUGAGAUCCCUCGUUGCUUCUGAAAAUUCCUCCUGUUUUGCCAUGCGGGCACAUGUUUGGGAUGCCUGCCCACUGGGGGCCAUCUAGUCUAUUGCAUUCAUCACAGAGGAUGAGAAGAGAAGACACAACUUCUUGAGUGAAAGAACAGAGACUGACCUACCUUGAACGAGAAGGAAUUCUGCCGCAGGCUGCCUUUGGACUCUGCGUCUCCUUCCUGAAUCUCCAUCUUCUUGGCCUACCCCAUUGGAUUUUGGAUUUUGGCUCCACAAUUACAUGAGCCAAUUCCUUAAAAUAAG